GCUUGUCUCAAAGAUUAAGCCAUGCAUGUCUAAGUAUAAAUCUUUUACUUUGAAACUGCGAACGGCUCAUUAUAUCAGUUAUAGUUUAUUUGAUAGUCCCUUACUACUUGGAUAACCGUAGUAAUUCUAGAGCUAAUACAUGCGUCAAUACCCUUCUGGGGUAGUAUUUAUUAGAUACAGAAUCAAUACGUGUUCUGCACGUUCUAUUGAUGAAUCAUAAUAACUGUUCGAAUCGCACGGGCAACCGGCGAUAGUUCAUUCAAAUUUCUGCCCUAUCAGCUUUCGACGGUAGUGUAGUGGACUACCGUGGCGUUAACGGGUAACGGAGAAUUAGGGUUCGAUUCCGGAGAGGGAGCCUGAGAAACGGCUACCACAUCCAAGGAAGGCAGCAGG
rnacentral:rRNA from 1 species